CUUUUAUCUUGGGGGAAGUCCGAGUGGGAGGGGCGGGGUCGAGCAGGAUGCUAGCUAGGAUUCAAGGUAGAAGUUGGCGCAUACUAACUAGGACUGUGGGGAAACCCAGAGGGGAAACCUGCAUUGGAAUGCUGUUACAGAGAUGAAUCAGAGUACAUACUCAAAUAUUCUACUUCAUGCCUGGUUCCUCCUUUCCUAGUUUUCCAUUGAGGUCUGAAAUCUGGCUAACUAAUUAAAAAGCUGUAUA